rnacentral:rRNA from 1 species
UGACGCUGAGGGACGAAAGCGUGGGGAGCGAAAGGGACUAGAUACGCAUGUAGUCCACGCCGUAAACUUUGUGCACUCGCUAUUGGCGGAUUCGACCCCGUCAGUGGCCAAGCUAACGCGAUAAGUGCACCGCCUGAGGACUACGGCCGCAAGGCUAGAACUCAAAGGAAUUGACGGGUCCCCGCACAAGCGGUGGAGCAUGUGGCAUAAUUCGAUGCAACGCGAAGAACCUUACCAGGUCUUGACAUGUAGCGGACCGGGGCAGAGAUGCCCCUUCUCUUCGGAGCCGCUUCACAGGUGCUGCAUGGCUGUCGUCAGCUCGUGUCGUGAGAUGUUCGGUUAAGUCCGUCAACGAGCGCAACCCNUGUCCUUCUCUGCCAGCAUUCAGUUGGGGACUNUAAGGACUCUAUCCCGCUUUUGCGGGAGGGAAGGUGGGCAUGAUGUCAAGUCAGUAUGGCCCUUACGGCCUGGGCUGCACACGUGCUACCAUGCCCAGUACAAUAGGUCGCUACUCCGCGAGGAGAUGCUAAUCCAGAAGCACGGCNNCAGUUCGGAUUGGAGUCUGCAACUCGACUCCAUGAAG